rnacentral:rRNA from 1 species
GCCUGGGGAGUACGGCCGCAAGGUUAAAACUCAAAUGAAUUGACGGGGGCCCGCACAAGCGGUGGAGCAUGUGGUUUAAUUCGAUGCAACGCGAAGAACCUUACCUACUCUUGACAUCCAGAGAAUUUGGCAGAGAUGCUGAAGUGCCUUCGGGAACUCUGAGACAGGUGCUGCAUGGCUGUCGUCAGCUCGUGUUGUGAAAUGUUGGGUUAAGUCCCGCAACGAGCGCAACCCUUAUCCUUUGUUGCCAGCGAUUCGGUCGGGAACUCAAAGGAGACUGCCGGUGAUAAACCGGAGGAAGGUGGGGAUGACGUCAAGUCAUCAUGGCCCUUACGAGUAGGGCUACACACGUGCUACAAUGGCGUAUACAAAGAGAAGCGACCUCGCGAGAGCAAGCGGAACUCAUAAAGUACGUCGUAGUCCGGAUUGGAGUCUGCAACUCGACUCCAUGAAGUCGGAAUCGCUAGUAAUCGUAGAUCAGAAUGCUACGGUGAAUACGUUCCCGGGCCUUGUACACACCGCCCGUCACACCAUGGGAGUGGGUUGCAAAAGAAGUAGGUAGCUUAACCUUCGGGAGGGCGCUUACCACUUUGUGAUCCAUGACUGGGGUGAAGUCGUAACAAGGUAACCGUAGGGGAACCUGCGGUUGGAUCACCUCCUUA